GAUGAACGCUGGCGGCGUGCUUAACACAUGCAAGUCGAGCGAAGCACUUAAGUUUGAUUCUUCGGAUGAAGACUUUUGUGACUGAGCGGCGGAUGGGUGAGUAACGCGUGGGUAACCUGCCUCAUACAGGGGGAUAACAGUUAGAAAUGACUGCUAAUACCGCAUAAGACCACGGUACCGCAUGGUACAGUGGUAAAAACUCCGGUGGUAUGAGAUGGACCCACGUCUGAUUAGGUAGUUGGUGGGGUAACGGCCUACCAAGCUGACGAUCAGUAGCCGACCUGAGAGGGUGACCGGCCACAUUGGGACUGAGACACGGCCCAGACUCCUACGGGAGGCAGCAGUGGGGAAUAUUGCACAAUGGAGGAAACUCUGAUGCAGCGACGCCGCGUGAAGGAUGAAGUAUUUCGGUAUGUAAACUUCUAUCAGCAGGGAAGAAAAUGACGGUAC
rnacentral:rRNA from 1 species